AAAAUUGGUUUGCUUCAGGAGGAAAUUCAGAAAAUAUUGGAAGUAGAACAAACACUUUCCCAACUAUAGCAGAAAAGAUGUUUAAGUCGAAGUCUCGUGAUCGGGUUUUGGGCUUUUGAGGAGGAAUAACACUUAAAGAAAUAGCAGGACCAUAACCUAGCAGGGGGAACUUCAAUCUUAGUUGAAUGAAGUAAUCAUACAAAAUCAAGUCAUAACCAAUCGCGUGGACACGAUACAAGAACUGUUGCUACAAGGGUUAACUUCUCCAAGAGAGGACACU